rnacentral:rRNA from 1 species
UACAUGGGGUGCAAACGUUGCUCGGAAUUAUUGGGCGUAAAGCGCGCGUAGGCGGUUACUCAAGUCGGGUGUGAAAGCCCUCGGCUUAACUGAGGAAGUGCACCCGAAACUGAGUAGCUAGAGUACUAAAGAGGGUCACGGAAUUCCCGGUGUAGAGGUGAAAUUCGUAGAUAUCGGGAGGAACACCGGUGGCGAAGGCGGCGACCUGGGUAGAUACUGACGCUGAGGCGCGAAAGCGUGGGGAGCAAACAGG